AUCUAUGGCCAUGCCACUCUGAACAAGCCCGAUCCCAUCCGAUCUUGGAAGCUAGGUAGGGUCGGGCCUGGUUAGCACUUAGAUGUGAAAAAAUAAAAUGAGAAAAAAUAAAAAAUAAGGGAUUGUAAGCC
rnacentral:rRNA from 1 species